AGAGUUUGAUCCUGGCUCAGGACGAACGCUGGCGGCGUGCCUAAUACAUGCAAGUCGUACGCUUCUUUUUCCACCGGAGCUUGCUCCACCGGAAAAAGAAGAGUGGCGAACGGGUGAGUAACACGUGGGUAACCUGCCCAUCAGAAGGGGAUAACACUUGGAAACAGGUGCUAAUACCGUAUAACAAUCGAAACCGCAUGGUUUUGAUUUGAAAGGCGCUUUCGGGUGUCGCUGAUGGAUGGACCCGCGGUGCAUUAGCUAGUUGGUGAGGUAACGGCUCACCAAGGCCACGAUGCAUAGCCGACCUGAGAGGGUGAUCGGCCACAUUGGGACUGAGACACGGCCCAAACUCCUACGGGAGGCAGCAGUAGGGAAUCUUCGGCAAUGGACGAAAGUCUGACCGAGCAACGCCGCGUGAGUGAAGAAGGUUUUCGGAUCGUAAAACUCUGUUGUUAGAGAAGAACAAGGAUGAGAGUAACUGUUCAUCCCUUGACGGUAUCUAACCAGAAAGCCACGGCUAACUACGUGCCAGCAGCCGCGGUGAUACGUAGGUGGCAAGCGUUGUCCGGAUUUAUUGGGCGUAAAGCGAGCGCAGGCGGUUUCUUAAGUCUGAUGUGAAAGCCCCCGGCUCAACCGGGGAGGGUCAUUGGAAACUGGGAGACUUGAGUGCAGAAGAGGAGAGUGGAAUUCCAUGUGUAGCGGUGAAAUGCGUAGAUAUAUGGAGGAACACCAGUGGCGAAGGCGGCUCUCUGGUCUGUAACUGACGCUGAGGCUCGAAAGCGUGGGGAGCAAACAGGAUUAGAUACCCUGGUAGUCCACGCCGUAAACGAUGAGUGCUAAGUGUUGGAGGGUUUCCGCCCUUCAGUGCUGCAGCUAACGCAUUAAGCACUCCGCCUGGGGAGUACGACCGCAAGGUUGAAACUCAAAGGAAUUGACGGGGGCCCGCACAAGCGGUGGAGCAUGUGGUUUAAUUCGAAGCAACGCGAAGAACCUUACCAGGUCUUGACAUCCUUUGACCACUCUAGAGAUAGAGCUUCCCCUUCGGGGGCAAAGUGACAGGUGGUGCAUGGUUGUCGUCAGCUCGUGUCGUGAGAUGUUGGGUUAAGUCCCGCAACGAGCGCAACCCUUAUUGUUAGUUGCCAUCAUUUAGUUGGGCACUCUAGCAAGACUGCCGGUGACAAACCGGAGGAAGGUGGGGAUGACGUCAAAUCAUCAUGCCCCUUAUGACCUGGGCUACACACGUGCUACAAUGGGAAGUACAACGAGUCGCGAAGUCGCGAGGCUAAGCUAAUCUCUUAAAGCUUCUCUCAGUUCGGAUUGUAGGCUGCAACUCGCCUACAUGAAGCCGGAAUCGCUAGUAAUCGCGGAUCAGCACGCCGCGGUGAAUACGUUCCCGGGCCUUGUACACACCGCCCGUCACACCACGAGAGUUUGUAACACCCGAAGUCGGUGAGGUAACCUUUUGGAGCCAGCCGCCUAAGGUGGGAUAGAUGAUUGGGGUGAAGUCGUAACAAGGUAGCCGUAUCGGAAGGUGCGGCUGGAUCACCUCCUUUCU
rnacentral:rRNA from 1 species